rnacentral:rRNA from 1 species
UACGGGAGGCAGCAGUGGGGAAUAUUGCACAAUGGGCGAAAGCCUGAUGCAGCUAUGCCGCGUGUAUGAAGAAGGCCUUAGGGUUGUAAAGUACUUUCAUCGGGGAGGAAAAAACAAAACUAAUAAUUUUAUUUCUUGACGUUACCCGAAAAAGAAGCACCGGCUAACUCCGUGCCAGCAGCCGCGGUAAUACGGAGGGUGCUAGCGUUAAUCAGAAUUACUGGGCGUAAAGAGCACGUAGGUGGUUUUUUUAAGUCAGAUGUGAAAUCCCUGGGCUUAACCUAGGAACUGCAUUUUGAAACUGAAAUACUAGAGUAUCGUAGAGGGAGGUAGAAUUCUAGGUGUAGCGGUGAAAUGCGUAGAUAUCUGGAGGAAUACCUGUGGCGAAAGCGGCCUCCUAAACGAAUACUGACACUGAGGUGCGAAAGCGUGGGGAGCAAACGAGGAUUAGAUACC